CUCUUCUCUCUUCUCAGGAGGUUGUUGAACAGUUUAAAAGUGAACUAGCGCCACCCUCUGGACGGGGUCUGGUACUUACUUCUGCAGAGGUCGUUUGAACACCUUGACCAAUACAUUGUAAGUUGUAUUCUCCUGAAGUAACAUUGUUUUAUUUUAACAGUUUGUUUGCAAAUUUAACAGAUAUUAUUAUUUUAUUUUCCUACAUAUUUAUGGCUGUAUUAUAGGUCUCCUUCUAUGACGUAGGAGCUGCAGUUCUCAUCUACUCCUUUACUGGCUGCUCCUUCAAGGAGAAACUCCUCCCAUUCUUCUGUCCUGGUCAUAAUGAUGGUGGUAUAAACUCUGCUCCUCUGAUCAUCACUCCUGUUAGAGUAAACUAAUCACUCUCUUUGUUUAUUGUAAUGAUUUUAUUCAUUGAAGAGAAUAAAUGUACAUAUCUUGUCUUAAUAUCAUGCAGUCGAAUUUGACUUUAAAGACACCAAAUACAUGAAGCUGAAGUUUGACUUUGAGUUAAUCCGCUAAAUCUGAUGUUCACACAGGAAACAUAGAUUAAUAGUUUUGUUGUCAUGGAGCUUCAUUAAGAUUGAGGCCUCCUACAUUUAUAUGUUUACAGAAUACAGGAUGUUUUAUUGUGUGAUUAACGUUAAUAAAGAGAAUAAAUAAAUAAAUAUACGUCA